GUGCUUCCCUCUAGCAGCAUAUUUACUAAAAUUAGAAAAAUAAAGAACAUUAGCAUGACCCCUGGAGAAGGAUGACAUAAAAAUUUGUGAAGCAAUCCUAAAAAGU